rnacentral:rRNA from 1 species
AGAGAGAGACAUGCGCGCAUAUCAAUAAGCGGAGGAAAAGAAACUAACAAGGAUUCCCUUAGUAACGGCGAGUGAAGCGGGAAGAGCUCAAAUUUGAAAUCUUCAAGGUUCUACCUUGACGAAUUGUAGUUUAUAGAAGUGUUUUCUGUUAGUAGAGUGGCAAAAGUUCUUUGGAAUAGGACAUCAUAGAGGGUGAGAAUCCCGUAUUUGGUCAUUCCUCCUAGCGUUGUGAUACACUUUCAACGAGUCGGAUUGUUUGGGAAUGCAGUCCAAAAUGGGUGGUAAAUUUCAUCUAAAGCUAAAUAUUGGCGAGAGACCGAUAGCGAACAAGUACCGUGAGGGAAAGAUGAAAAGAACUUUGAAAAGAGAGUUAAACAGUACGUGAAAUUGUCAAAAGGGAAGCGUUUGACACCAGUGUUGUUUUUCCGAAAAUCAAUUACGAAUGUUUUGUUUUUGAGGAGUUAUGACUUCAUCGGCUUGCUCCUUUCUUUACGAAACUUUCUUAAUGCACUUUUCGGUUAACAAGUCAACAUCAAUUUCUUUUGUUGUAAAAGGGUCAUUGGAAGGUGGCUUUCACUUCGGUGAAAGUGUUUAUAGCCUUUGACUUCUGCAAUCGGAGAGAUUGAGGUCUGCAGCGUAGAUCCUUCGGGGUUAGAUACAUUUGUGCUAAGUUAUAGCCUUUCAUAGACAACUUGUUGACUAUGAUCAGUCAUGUAGCUUACUCGCUUAUGUCAUUUUACCUACGCUUAGGAUGUUGAUAGUCACAGCGUGUAC